UACGAAGGGGGCUAGCGUUGUUCGGAAUUACUGGGCGUAAAGCGCACGUAGGCGGCACUGUAAGUUGGGGGUGAAAUCCCGGAGCUCAACUCCGGAACUGCCUUCAAUACUGCAGAGCUAGAGGAUGCGAGAGGUGAGUGGAAUUCCGAGUGUAGAGGUGAAAUUCGUAGAUAUUCGGAAGAACACCAGUGGCGAAGGCGGCUCACUGGCGCAUAUCUGACGCUGAGGUGCGAAAGCGUGGGUAGCAAACAGG
rnacentral:rRNA from 1 species